GCCGCCAUAGCUCAGUCGGUUAGAGCGUGGGUCUAAUAAGCCCAAGGUCGCAGGUUCGACCCCUGCUGGCGGC
rnacentral:tRNA from 1 species